CAAGCUACUAAGUGCGAUCGGUGGAUGCCUUGGCACCAAGAGCCGAUGAAGGACGUUGUGACCUGCGAUAAGCCCUGGGGAGUUGGUGAGCGAGCUGUGAUCCGGGGGUGUCCGAAUGGGGAAACCUGGAAUGUCCGGAGUAGUGUCCGGUGGCCCUGCCCUGAAUGUAUAGGGGUGUGGGUGGUAACGCGGGGAAGUGAAACAUCUUAGUACCCGUAGGAAGAGAAAACAAGUGUGAUUCCGUGAGUAGUGGCGAGCGAAAGCGGAGGAGGCUAAACCGUGUGUGUGUUCAAGCCGGCAGGUGUUGCAUGUGCGGGGUUGUGGGGGCCUGUGUGAUCCUGCUGCCGUGGGAUCGGCUUGCAUGUGGUGUGAAGUUGAAUCGUCUGGGAAGGCGGACCGUAGUGGGUGAGAGUCCCGUAGACGUGAGUGUCAUGUGUGGUUGUCAGGUUGCCCCAAGUAGCGCGGUACUCGUGGAAUGUCGCGUGAAUCUGGCGGGACCACCCGUUAAGCCUAAAUACUUCUUGGUGACCGAUAGUGUAUCAGUACCGUGAGGGAAUGGUGAAAAGUACCCCGGGAGGGGAGUGAAAUAGUACCUGAAACCGGUCGCAUACAAGCCGUCGGAGCCUUUUGGGGUGACGGCGUGCCUAUUGAAAAAUGAGCCUGCGAGUUAGUGGUAUGUGGCGAGGUUAACCUGUGUGGGGUAGUCGUAGCGAAAGCGAGUCCGAUAAGGGCGUCAGUCGCAUGCUCUAGACCCGAAGCGGUGUGAUCUAUCCAUGGCCAGGAUGAAGCGUCGGUAAGACGUCGUGGAGGUCCGAACCCACUUCAGUUAAAAAUGGAGGGGAUGAGCUGUGGAUAGGGGUGAAAGGCCAAUCAAACACGGUGAUAGCUGGUUCUCCCCGAAAUGCAUUUAGGUGCAGCGUUGCGUGGUUCUUGUUGGAGGUAGAGCACUGGAUGGUCUAGGGGGCUUA
rnacentral:rRNA from 14 species